rnacentral:rRNA from 1 species
AUUGAACGCUGGCGGAAUGCUUUACACAUGCUAGUCGAACGGCAGCACGGACUUCGGUCUGGUGGCGAGUGGCGAACGGGUGAGUAAUGUAUCGGAACGUGCCCAGUCGUGGGGGAUAACGUAGUGAAAAUUACGCUAAUACCGCAUACGAUCUAUGGAUGAAAGCGGGGGAUCGCAAGACCUCGCGCGAUUGGAGCGGCCGAUAUCAGAUUAGGUAGUUGGUUGGGGUAAAGGCCCACCAAGCCAACGAUCUGUAGCUGGUCUGAGAGGACGACCAGGCACACUGGAACUGAGACACGGUCCAGACUCCUACGGGAGGCAGCAGUGGGGAAUUUUGGACAAUGGGCGAAAGCCUGAUCCAGCCAUUCCGCGUGCAGGAUGAAGGCCCUCGGGUUGUAAACUGCUUUUGUACAGAACGAAAAGGUUUCUACUAAUACUAGGAGCUCAUGACGGUACUGUAAGAAUAAGCACCGGCUAACUACGUGCCAGCCGCCGCAGUAA